ACGUACACUCCUGCGGGAGGCAGCAGUGGGGAAUAUUGCACAAUGGGCGCAAGCCUGAUGCAGCCAUGCCGCGUGUAUGAAGAAGGCCUUCGGGUUGUAAAGUACUUUCAGCGGGGAGGAAGGCGAUAAGGUUAAUAACCUUGUUGAUUGACGUUACCCGCAGAAGAAGCACCGGCUAACUCCGUGCCAGCAGCCGCGGUAAUACGGAGGGUGCAAGCGUUAAUCGGAAUUACUGGGCGUAAAGCGCACGCAGGCGGUCUGUCAAGUCGGAUGUGAAAUCCCCGGGCUCAACCUGGGAACUGCAUUCGAAACUGGCAGGCUAGAGUCUUGUAGAGGGGGGUAGAAUUCCAGGUGUAGCGGUGAAAUGCGUAGAGAUCUGGAGGAAUACCGGUGGCGAAGGCGGCCCCCUGGACAAAGACUGACGCUCAGGUGCGAAAGCGUGGGGAGCAAACAGGAUUAGAUACCCGGGUAGUCC
rnacentral:rRNA from 1 species